rnacentral:lncRNA from 1 species
GUUCCUUCCUUGGCAGUAAAUAUCCUUUUUUUUUUGUCAUGAAUUCUGUCUAUCUUCCUGAAUCCUUGCCUUGUUGAUAAUAGUUGUCAUUUACAGUUGAUCAUAUAUAAACUAUGGUGAUUACUAUGUACAGCAUUCUUCUUGAUCUACUCAUUUCACUUUGCAUCACUUCAUAUGUCUUUCCAGGUGAUCAACAUAUUCAUCAUUUAUAAUGGCCUAAUUGUAUUCUAUUAAAAGCAUAUAUCACAACUUGUUUAGCCAUUCCCCAAUUGAUGGGCAUCCCUUUAGCUUCCAGAAGUUUGACAGCACAAAAAGAGCUGCUAUACAUAUUUUUGAACAGUGUAUUUCUUGACUUUGAACUUCAUGUUACAUUUGGGUUCUGUUCCUUGGAUAUAGCUGGGAGUAGAGAAGAUUCAACAUAAGGUGCCCUGUAGGGUUACCAUGGUCACUGCUCAGCUGAGGAGCCAGAAGGGAAAAGGAGACCGCCACCGCUGCCGCUGCUGCUGCCGCCGUUGCGGCAGUGAUGGGGGAGGAUGGAAUGGCCAUUAACAGGAAAAAAUAAUGUCAUAGCAGAUGGCUCUCUGUGUGAAGAUUGGAAGAAAAAAGACCCAGAAAGGCAAUCUAGGGAACUUCCGGGUAAUCAUGGCUGCAAUCUAGACGCCACACGCUUCCUCUCCUCGGCACCGAACAAAAUAGACUACAUCAAAGGAGCAUAA